UUUUAAAGUAAAUUUUUGUCCGGAGCAUAACUCUAAAUCUACUGAAGGGAUUUACUUGAAACUUGAAAUAUAAACAGAUGGCAAGUAGGAAAAGUGCAGUGACUAAGAACCAUAACUCUAUCUACCUUAUUUUUGAAUUAUCUCCCCUUUUAUAUAACUUAAAAGUAAAUUUUGUCCGGAGCAUAACUCUAAAUAUACUAAAGGGAUUUACUUGAAACUUGAAAUAUAAA